rnacentral:misc_RNA from 1 species
GUAUUCAACUUUUGUAUUAACCGCCAUUUUGUAAUGACUUGCGUUCGAUUCGAUUUUCGCGCUAAGAAAAAAGGACAAUUCACCGGUGUUUGUAAUGAUAUUGGCGACACGGGACUUGCGUCUUGCGUCUCUUCGCUAAUGAUCCUUCCGCAGGUUCACCUACGGAAA